AUGGUUUCUGAGCAGGUACAACUUUUACAUAGUAUCACUUUAUGUGUUUUUAUUAUCUUUGUAUUCUUUUUGUUGUAUAGGAUGUAGAAGGUAUGACUGUUGUUGAUAUACAAGGUUAAAUGAAUUCUCUUCGUGUGGAUUCCAAGCAUUUUUACUGCCUCACUUUUUUUGAGAAAAUAUUUUAGGUGUAAGAUAUAUAUAAUAUAACAUUCUUUGUGCUCUUUUAUAGAAGCUAACAUCACUUGAUGGUAAAGAGAGAUUUGCCUUAGCAGCUGUUUGAUAAGAGAUUGAUAAUAUAACAUUCUUUGUGCUCUUUUAUAGAAGCUAACAUCACUUGAUGGUAAAGAGAGAUUUGCCUUAGCAGCUGUUUGAUAAGAGAUUGGGAGGCUAAGGUUUGUAUAUAUUCAUUCUAAUAUUUCAUUUACUUUGCUUUUUGUGCUUACAUGAAGCGGCCAGAAAGCUUUAGUUCCAGAGUUAUUCUUUGAUGCCAAAAGUAUGGUUUAUGACAACUAAUCUCAAUAGCCUUUAGAAAGCAUCUGCUUUAGGGCUGCAAAGAGAUGGUCCAAUCAGAUUACCAUUCAUGUGUUUCUUUUCCGUGAGGAGUCUCAAACGAAAAGGUUGAAAAGGAUGUUUCAAACAAGAUUCAAGAUUCCAUAUCAAUUUCUCGACACUCAUCCUUUUGUAGACUCUUUAGUCCAAUCUGAUUACCAUCUUUCAUCAGAAGUAAAGCAUCAAAAUUUUUUUAUCUCGGAGAUGAGAAGGCUUAUCAAAGAAACGCAGUAUACGCUGCUGCUGUACAUUCAAGCUUCUCAUGCGUCUGAUUGGACUGAUAACAAAGGAGAUAAAGAAGCAAAUCUGAGUGUCGAAAAUAGUCGAAGGAGAUACAUUGAUGGUGAACAUUGGUUCGAUGUUGAAGGGACCCAGGAUUAUGGGAGUGAAUAAAGAUAUGUUGAGAAUGCAACUGAUCAGUCUAUAAUAGAUCAGUAACCGUAUUCCUUCAUUGAUUUGACGGAUCUAAGUUCUGUUUUGGUAAAAGUUUGAGACUUAUUCCUUACACAAUAUCUGACCAUAAAAUGUUUAUAUUUGACUGAGAUGGUUAAGUUUAGAUUUGCCUGGGAUGGUUGUUUUAGUUUUUAGGGCUAACUCUUGUUACUUCUUUGGAAGAUAAAUAUAUCUUAUGGUGUUUUUUUUUUCUCUGAACUAACUUUACGCUACCUUGAAUUUUCUAUAUGUUUUACUCGCUGAAGAGACUGAGGUAAAGGAUUGUCCGGAUGAUUUUGGAAGAGAUGAAAAGUUGGAUUUAGAUGACAAAUGAAUCAGAGUAUGAUGCUGAUGAAUAUGGUUGGGAGGAGUUUGAAGAGAGAUAAUUAAGACAAGAGGAUCAUGAGUUGGUAAAUCAGAGAACUGGAGGAGGAAACUGAGGCAGAGAAAAAUGCAGGUGAGUUUGCCGACGAGAUUGGAGAUGGUCUGAUCUUGAGAGUGAAGGUGAUGAGGUGCAUGCUUAUCAAGAAGUCAAGUUUGGAGAAGCUGUUGAUGUGUAAGAAGAGCAUCAUGAUGUUCUCCAUGAUAGACGUAAGCGUAAAGAUUUUGAAAUAUUUGUUGGAAGCUUAGACAAAGGUACUACGGAGGAGGAUUUAAAGAAAGUAUUUAGUUCCUGGGCAAGUGACUGGAUUUAGGAUUAUGAAGAAUCCACGGACAAAGAAGAGCAAGAGUUAUGCUUUUCUGCUUUUUGUAUUUGUGGAUUAGGCAAAACGAGCUGUUAAAGAGCUUAGAACCCAAUGGUAAUCGUUUACACUUUAGUAUUUAAUGGAGCGUUUUGUAGCUUUACACUGAACAUCACUCUCUUGGCCAUUUUAUGUUUACCCAUUAUAUA